rnacentral:rRNA from 1 species
AUGCGUAAGGGUAUGGCGCCGCCGUCGCCGCUGCCGCCACGCGCGGCCGGUCUUCUCGGAUCUCCUCCUCGAUGCGUAAGGGUACGGCGCCGCUGCCACCGCCACCACGCGCGGCCGGUCUUCUCCGUCCAUCCGUUCUUGGGGUCCCCUGCUUCUGCUUUCCUCCCCGCAAGCAAUCCCCGGCUCCUACCGACCCCGCAGCUUCAUCGUCGCAGUCGCCACCACCGUCGCCUCCAUGAACCAGCCGGUGCAGAAGAACACCCCCUACAUAGGUGGACUGGCGGAGGAGGGGGAGAGAAGAUCCUGCAUGCGGUGUUCGUGCCGUUCAGGGAGAACAAGGGCGUCAAGGGGCCGCUCGACCAGGCCACGCAGAAGCACUGCUCCUUUGGGUUCUUCACGUUCCUGGAGCGCGAGAACACCGCCACCUCCAUGGACAACAUGGAUGGCACCGAGUUCUUCGGCCGCGUCCUCACCGUGAACUACGCCUUCCCCGAGAAAAUCAAGGGAGGGGAGCAGGGAUGGGCUGCGCAGCCAGGUAUGUCCCGUGCUUCUCCUCUGUUCAAUUACGUCACGCUCUGCUUUCGUGCUUGCGUACCUGGUUGCUUGACACUAGGGUUAGGGUUGCCAAAUGUUUUUCUUACCUGGUAUGAAGUUGGAAGAUUAAGGGCGAGGAAUUUUUAG